rnacentral:rRNA from 1 species
AUUGAACGCUGGCGGCAGGCCUAACACAUGCAAGUCGAGCGGUAGUACAGAGAGCUUGCUCUCGGGUGACGAGCGGCGGACGGGUGAGUAAUGUCUGGGAAACUGCCUGAUGGAGGGGGAUAACUACUGGAAACGGUAGCUAAUACCGCAUAACGUCGCAAGACCAAAGAGGGGGACCUUCGGGCCUCUUGCCAUCAGAUGUGCCCAGAUGGGAUUAGCUAGUAGGUGGGGUAACGGCUCACCUAGGCGACGAUCCCUAGCUGGUCUGAGAGGAUGACCAGCCACACUGGAACUGAGACACGGUCCAGACUCCUACGGGAGGCAGCAGUGGGGAAUAUUGCACAAUGGGCGCAAGCCUGAUGCAGCCAUGCCGCGUGUAUGAAGAAGGCCUUCGGGUUGUAAAGUACUUUCAGCGGGGAGGAAGGUGUUGAGGUUAAUAACCUCAGCAAUUGACGUUACCCGCAGAAGAAGCACCGGCUAACUCCGUGCCAGCCGCCGCAGUAA